GAUGAACGCUGGCGGCGUGCCUAAUACAUGCAAGUCGAGCGAACAGAUGAGGAGCUUGCUCCUCUGACGUUAGCGGCGGACGGGUGAGUAACACGUGGAUAACCUACCUAUAAGACUGGGAUAACUUCGGGAAACCGGAGCUAAUACCGGAUAAUAUAUUGAACCGCAUGGUUCAAUAGUGAAAGACGGUUUUGCUGUCACUUAUAGAUGGAUCCGCGCCGCAUUAGCUAGUUGGUAAGGUAACGGCUUACCAAGGCAACGAUGCGUAGCCGACCUGAGAGGGUGAUCGGCCACCCUGGAACUGAGACACGGUCCAGACUCCUACGGGAGGCAGCAGUAGGGAAUCUUCCGCAAUGGGCGAAAGCUUGACGGAGCAACGCCGCGUGAGUGAUGAAGGUCUUCGGAUCGUAAAACUCUGUUAUUAGGGAAGAACAUAUGUGUAAGUAACUAUGCACGUCUUGACGGUACCUAAUCAGAAAGCCACGGCUAACUACGUG
rnacentral:rRNA from 1 species